AUGUUAGAUGAAUUUUCGUUGGCAGAUGCGCUACCUGAAGAGUCCUCUGCCAAACCGCCUACUGUGACCAAUACAAAAGUUGGCCAUUCUCCUCCAGGGUGGCCAGGCUCCAAGUGCUCCACCUGCAGUGCCGCCUGGACUCCCCCCGCCCCCCAGGAGUGCAGCAGCCUCUAUUUUGGACUAGUACCAACAGGAAUGCAUCCCUCCAUGCCUCCAACCAGACCACCUCCCAGCCCUCCCCCCUUUCCUCCUCCUGGACCAUCAUGUCCCCCACCUGGUGUUCCUUAUCCAGCCUCUGCAGUGCCAGGCCCUGGCCCCACAGAGCCAUAUGCUACACCAAAUAUGCCUAUGCCAGAGAUGCCUAGGCCAUAUGGUGCACCCACAGAUCCAGCUGCAGCCGGUUCUUUAGGUCCUCGGGAAUCCAUCUCUUCUGGACCUUGGCCACCAGGAAUUGAGGGGCAGCAUCCUAAUGUGCCAGGGCCAUAUCAGGAGCACGAUGUGAUCCGUGGGGCACUGUGCCACCGGGAGCCUGGGGACCGCUUCCUGCACCAGACCAGGUGAAGGAAGCAGAGCUUGGCAGGCAGCUCCUGCAAGCGCUUAAGCAUCUAGAUCAAUGGCAGGGUUGUUAA